AAAAAAAAAAACUCCACUGGUAGCGUGUCACUUGAAAUUUGUCUGAGGAAAACAGAGUUGAGAGUCCUAUUCUGGAAGCGGAAUGGAAGGGGUGUCUUCUUCUUCUUCUCCUUCAUCGGCGAUAGCGCAGAAAACAUGGGAACUAGAAAACAACAUAAUCCCAAUGGACACUCCGGGAAGCAGCGCCCCAAGCGCCGAUGACUCAAUCUUCUACUAUGACGAGGCCGGUCAGAACGAGUUCCAGCGCGACAAGCCAUGGGCUAACGACCCUCACUACUUCAAGCGCGUCAAGAUCUCCGCCCUCGCCCUCCUCAAGAUGGUCGUUCACGCUCGCUCCGGCGGCACCAUCGAAGUCAUGGGCCUCAUGCAAGGCAAGACCGACGCCGACGCCAUCAUCGUCAUGGACGCCUUCGCUUUGCCCGUGGAGGGUACCGAAACCCGCGUCAAUGCCCAAGCCGAUGCCUACGAAUACAUGGUCGAUUAUUCCCAGACCAACAAGCAGGCCGGGCGGUUAGAGAAUGUCGUGGGAUGGUAUCAUUCUCAUCCUGGUUAUGGGUGCUGGCUUUCGGGGAUUGAUGUUUCGACGCAGAUGCUGAAUCAGCAAUUUCAGGAACCCUUUCUUGCUGUUGUUAUUGACCCUACGAGGACUGUUUCUGCUGGGAAGGUUGAGAUUGGGGCUUUCAGGACUUACCCUGAGGGUUAUAAGCCUCCUGAUGAGCCUAUUUCUGAGUAUCAGACUAUACCUCUUAAUAAGAUUGAGGAUUUUGGUGUUCAUUGUAAACAGUAUUAUGCGUUGGAUAUCACUUACUUUAAGUCCUCUCUUGAUUCCCAUCUCUUGGAUCUGCUAUGGAAUAAAUAUUGGGUGAAUACGCUGUCGUCUUCUCCUCUCUUGGGUAAUGGAGAUUAUGUUGCUGGACAAAUCUCGGAUUUAGCUGAAAAGCUAGAACAAGCAGAGAAUCAGUUGGCACACUCACGCUUUGGGCCACUAAUAGCACCCACGCCUAGGAAGAAAGAAAAUGGAGCUGUAUGUGUCUUGCAAACCUGACAUCAGUAUCGAGUGGCAGCAUAUGAUUCGACUAGUUAUUCUUCCUUCUGUGUUACAUGCUCCUGUGGUGCGGUUUCAAGGGUGGAGCAGCACUUCAAAGUGAAAAUCGUUGGUGUGGUGUGCUCCAAAACGAAGAAUCUCCACUUGCUAAGAUUACUCGUGAUAGUGCAAAAAUAACUGUGGAGCAAGUGCAUGGUCUAAUGUCACAGGUAAUCAAGGACAUUCUAUUUAACUCCGUUCACCAAGCACACCGAUCUCGCACAGAAGCAUCUGGCCCUGAACCUAUGAUUGAAAGCUGAUUCUGGCAUCUUAUAGACGCGCAUUUAUAUAUUCUUUUUCUCUUUCUUUGUUUUGGUCUUUUACCUCAAUGUCAGCCUACCCAUUUACAUUUAACAGGACGGUAAAUCUAGUUUUGUAUUUAGCCUUUUCUUCAUGUGCCCUUGCAUAUCUUGGUUUUAUUUCACAAGAACAAAUGUGUACUAUCGACCUCGGACUCGAUUCUAACUAACAGGUCCAAACCGUUGGCCAAUGCAAACAUAACU